GGGAAUCAUCAAAGAGUGGAAAGAAAAGGGAAAGAGAAGAGGAGAGUAUGCCUGUUUGAGGGUCAGCCUAUAAAAAUCGACAUCGUUGCUGUUUCGGGGUGGCGUUGGGCGGAAAUUGGGUCAUCUUAAAUCCUUUUGAUUUAAGCGACUUAAAAUUUUCUUUUGGUUCCAUGAACGUUUCUAAGAUCUAUUUCUUUACACGUUUAAAGCAGAGUGUUUCACUAGACGUGACGACCAUCAGGGAUCGU
rnacentral:misc_RNA from 1 species